rnacentral:lncRNA from 1 species
UGGGUGUCGGCGGAGGUUUGGUGUGAGUGGGGUUGGGGGUGAGGCUGAAAGAGGGGGGGGAAGGGGGGGGUGGGAUGAAGGAGAGCGUGGGGUGGUGGGGAUGGGGGGUGAGGGGGGUUGGGGUGAGGAGGAGGGGUUUGUGUGGGGCGUGGGGGGAAUGGUGGUGGAUGGUGGGGAGUGUGGGAGAGAGGGGUGGAAGAGCAAAAGGGGGAAAUGAGGCCAAAAUGGGGGGAGAUGACCCCAAAUGGGGGGGAACACAAAAAGUUGGGAGAAUAACCCAAAAUGUGGGGGGGAAAAAACACAGAUUGUGGGGGAAAUGACCCAAAAUGGGAGGAAAUAACCCCAAAAGGUGGGGAAAUAACCCAAAAUGGCCCCCAAAACCCCCUGAAUGCCCCCCAGAACGCACCCCAAAUUCCCCAAAAUGGCCCAAAUGCCCCCACAUUCCCCAGAAUUCCCCCCAAAUGCCCCCAGUGGCCCCAAAAUACCCCAGAAUGGCCCCAAAUGCCCAAAAUGGCCCCCAAAUGGUCCCAAAAUGACCCCAAAAUACCUCAGAAUGGCUCCAAAUGCCCAAAAUGGCUCCCAAAUGGUCCCGAAAUUCCCCCACGGUGCCCCCAGAAUACCCCAAAAUGGCCCCAAAUUGCCCCAGAAUGGCCCCAAAUGCCCUCAAAUUACUCUAAAAUGACCCCAAAAUGCCCCCCAAAUGCUCCAAAAUACCCCAGAACGCCCCAAAAAGGCCCCCCGAAAUGCCCCACAACGCCCCCAAAAUACCACAAAAUGCCCCCCAAAAGUUCCCCAAAAUACCCCACGUGGCCCCAACGGACCCCCAAAAUGCCCCCCAAAUGGCCAUCACUGCCAGGAACCGAUGGCUUCCGCUCUCCCACCCACCAGCAAAACCGGGUGAAAUUCCACCAAUUUUGGGCAAUUUGGGCCAAAACGGCUCCUGUCCAACCCCCGCAUCCCCCCCCCCCCCCAUAAAAAAGUGUUUAAAAAGGUGAAAUUGGGCCAAAAAAUGGCACUUUUGGGUGCGCUCCUCCCCUCCGCCUGUACAAAAGUUGCGCUUUUUUGUAAAAUAUCCCCAUUUUUACACACAAAAAAAAAACCCCAAAAUCGGCGUUUUUUGGUUUUUUUCGGUGUUUUUUUUUUUUUUUUCUUUUUCCUUUGGCAAAGCUUGAAGCGGAUUUUGGCUUUUUGGAGUUGUAAUAAAUUGUAAAUAGCGCCGCCCUUUUUGGGUCCAUUUCGGCUCCUUUUGGGGUCUGUGGCGGUGGGGGAAAGUGGUGGGUUUUGGCACGACGUUCCGGGUCCCUUUUUGGGGGGGUUUUGACCCCAAAAUCCAACGUUGUUCCAUUGGGUGGGGUGGGGGGGAGAUGGGAUUUUUGGGGUGGAAUUGGAGGAUUUGGGGGUGAAAUUUGGGGUUUUGAGGCAUUUCCGUUGCAUCCUAUAGAGCCCCACAGCCCUCAUAGCAACCUAUAGAACUCCACAGCACCCUAUAGAGCUCCAUAGUACCUUAUAGUGUCUUAUAGCCCGUAUAGGAUCCUUACAGCCCCCAUAGCAUCCCAUAGAGCCCCACAGCGCCCUCUACAGCUCCGUAGCCCUCAUAGCAACCUAUAGAGUCCAGCAGUGCCCUAUGGUGUCCUAUAACCCAUAUAGGAUCCCCAUAGCAUCCCACAGAGCCCCACAGCACCCUAUAGAGCCCUAUAGUGCCCUAUACAGCCCUGUAACCCCUAUAGGGCCUCACAGCCCCUACAGAGCCCUGUACCCCAUAGCCCCUAUCCGCCCCAUCAUCCCCUGCGUUCUCCCUCCUCUCUUUCCCGCGCCACAUGCAAACGAAGGGGGCGUGGCCCACCCCCCGCCGGGGAAGGAGGGGAGGGG